UGUGCGUGCGAUUAGACGUAUUGUACGACUCUACGAAACUCGCACGAAUCGAGACGAGCUGCUCCAAAAUCGGACGAAUACAUAAGCAGCUGUUUAUGAGAAAGUAUAUAGGUGUAUAGGUAUUUAUGUACAACAGUGAAUAGCUGUACUUGAAAAAUUGUGUAUAAAGUGUUUUGAAUAUUAAUGAACAAAGUGCAUUCAUUAUUAAUGAAGAAAGUCACGAAAAAAUAGUGAAAGAAAAUGAAGAAGAAAAGCGUAAAGAGCUAAAAAGAAAAAAACUAAUGCACGUCAAAGGGCAUAUUAUCAGCGUCAGAAAGAUUUGAAGAAAAAUGAAGAAAUAAUAAAAACAGUACCAAAAUCAAAUGCUGAACGUCAAAGGAAAUUUCGUCAACAUAAUGCAGAAAAAUCUUACAUGGAUAUAAAAAGACGAAAAUUGUGCAGUAAUGAAGUUUCAAUGAUAAAUAUUCGUGAAUAACCAACAGCUACUGUAAGAUAAUAAAACCCACAUGUAAUGUAAAAUAAUAAAAAUAUUAAACAAUUUUAACUUUUUAUUUAUUUAA